AGUGAACGCUGGCGGUAGGCCUAACACAUGCAAGUCGAACGGCAGCACAGUAAGAGCUUGCUCUUACGGGUGGCGAGUGGCGGACGAGUGAGGAAUACAUCGGAAUCUACUUUUUCGUGGGGGAUAACGUAGGGAAACUUACGCUAAUACCGCAUACGACCUACGGGUGAAAGCAGGGGAUCUUCGGACCUUGCGCGAUUGAAUGAGCCGAUGUCGGAUUAGCUAGUUGGCGGGGUAAAGGCCCACCAAGGCGACGAUCCGUAGCUGGUCUGAGAGGAUGAUCAGCCACACUGGAACUGAGACACGGUCCAGACUCCUACGGGAGGCAGCAGUGGGGAAUAUUGGACAAUGGGCGCAAGCCUGAUCCGGCCAUACCGCGUGGGUGAAGAAGGCCUUCGGGUUGUAAAGCCCUUUUGUUGGGAAAGAAAAGCGGCAGGUUAAUACCCCGCUGUUCUGACGGUACCCAAAGAUUAAGCACCGGCUAACUUCGUG
rnacentral:rRNA from 1 species